UACGAAGGGGGCUAGCGUUGCUCGGAAUGACUGGGCGUAAAGGGCGCGUAGGCGGAUGGCACAGUCAGAUGUGAAAUUCCCGGGCUUAACCUGGGGGCUGCAUUUGAUACGUGUGAUCUAGAGUGAGGAAGAGGGUCGUGGAAUUCCCAGUGUAGAGGUGAAAUUCGUAGAUAUUGGGGAAGAACACCGGUGGCGAAGGCGGCGACCUGGUCCUCGACUGACGCUGAGGCGCGAAAGCGUGGGGAGCAAACGGGG
rnacentral:rRNA from 1 species